UAAUUUUCACUGUGGCUGCUGAUUU
rnacentral:piRNA from 1 species